UCCAUAUUUCACUAUCUCUUA
rnacentral:miRNA from 1 species